UCUGUCUGGGUACAAUUCUUGAUACCCUCUCAGGUGGAGAGAAGACAACCCAACAAUUGGACAGUGGCCAUGGAGAGGAAACUGAAAGCUGUGCUGGGGAUUCUGUGGGUGCAGAUUUGCUGGGUGCGAGGGCUUGAUGUGGAGCAGAGUCCUUCAGAUCUAGGUCUCCACGAGGGAACCAAAUCUGCCCUGAGAUGCAAUUUUUCUACCACUAUCAUGAGUGUGCAGUGGUUCCGACAGAAUCCCAGGGGCAGCCUCAUCAGACUGUUUUACUUAACUCCUGGAACAAAGGAGAAUCGAAGGCUAAACUCAACAUUCGACUCCAAGGAGCGCUACAGCACCCUACACAUCAGGGAUGCCCAGCUGGAGGACUCAGGCACCUACCUCUGUGCAGCGGAGGCACAGUGCUUUCUACAAGCCUGCAGCCUGGUCACAAACUGCAGCUGGGUGUGCAGAUGCAGCCCUGACAUGGGGAGACUUGACAGUAGGCUUUUCACAGUGGUGGCUUUAUCAGAUUCCCACCAAUUACAAAAAAUUAUGAGAAAACAAAAUUAACACAGCAGAAAUUCAUGCUUAAAUUCAGUUUGACAUGUCAUUGAUUUGGAUAAGCUUAAAUGUUCAGAAACAUCAGCCCAUAUGACUAAAAUAUAUUCUUUAUUUCGCCAAAUGUUUGUGCUAAUGUCAUGAAAUAUAAGCCUCUCUUACACAUUCCAGAACCAUUUGGAU